AGAAAAGGGACAUCUUGAUGAUAAAAAACUAUGGAACAAACUCAUACGAUCAUCGUGGCUUCGUGAAUACAGAAAGAAAUCGGUCCGCCAUUUUGUUCGGAUGAAAUAAUUACAAAAAUGGAAUAAAAUGAAAAAGAGGCCCUUGUGAAUAUUUUGAGGCUGGAAAUAUAUCUGUAAUUCUUAACAAUUAUAAAUUAUAUUGCAAAAUUUUAAUUAUAUUCUAAUUUCUUUAUAAUAUACAUCACAAA